UCUUUGCUGGGCACGGGCUUUCUCUAGUUGCGGCAAGCUGGGGCUACCCUUCAUUGUGGUGCGUGGGCUUCUCACUGUGGUGGCUUCUUGUUGCAGAGCAUGGGCUCUAGGCGUGUGGGCUUCAGUAGUUGUGGCACGUGGGCUCAGUAGUUGUGGCUCGCGGGCUCUAGAGCGCAGGUUCAGUAGUUGUGGCGCACGGGUUUAGUUGCUCUGCGGCAUGUGGGAUCUUCCUGGACCAGGGCUCGAACCCAUGUUCCCUUCUUUGGCAGGCGGAUUCUUAACCACUGUGCAAACAGGGAAGUCCCUGUCUGAUGUUUUCUGAUUCAGGUCAACAUAAGCUCCUUUCUGGUACUUUCCCUGAAGCCUUGAUUUGAACUUGUUCUUUAGUGUUCUCAAAGCGUCUAUAUAUUUCUCUAUUAUUAUGCCGUAUCAUACUGUGUUGGUUUUAGGCUUUGUGAGGAGAGGUUCAGAGUAGGUUUUGCCCUAGAAUGUGGUCUUUACUCCUGAAGGCCUUUCUAGUGUCUGCUGGUCUGUGUUGUUAAUGUGAUUUCUUCACUUUGGCAGAG